GGGUUUGAGGAGGGGAUUGGAGUGUGGCUCAAGUUCGGGAGGCGUUACCUGCGGAGGGUUUGAGGCAGGCCCAGGAGCGAGCCCACGGUCUGCCGACGCGGGGCCAGCGGCGGGCCCCAGGAUCCGGAGCUUCGGGCGGGGCCGAGUCCAGGUUUGGGGCCCGGGAGGUGGGGCCGGUUAGGGCGAGGGUCCCCGGGAUCGUAGUGUCAGGCCUUGGGCCAACGUAGGCACUCGCAGUUCCUCCGCCUUCAGGAAGGUCUUUUUGGCAGGGGCCUUACGGGUGCGCGCUUCGGUCCUGGAGGCGUUAUCCUAGCCUCCUCUCCAUCAGCGCCACCCGUCUGGGGCCCGAUAGGAGGGAGCUUUCUGUCUGUCCCCCAGCCUUUGGACUGUCACCAAACAAGCCAUCCGUUCACCAAAUACUUAUUAAGCGCCUACCAUGUGUCUGGCAAGGGAGGUGUAACAGUGAGAAAAACUAGGUGUGGUCCAGGCCCUCCAGGGGCUCAGGGGCUCGUGGAAGAAGUGGACAUUGAAGUACUUACCACACAAAUGAGCAUGAAAGUACAAUAGCAAUAUCUGCCACGAAGGCGAGCAGACAGAGCUAGCAGGGCUUCCAGGAGGAGUUUUGAUCUUGCAGGGACAGGAAGGAGGAGUUAGCUCCUGGGGGGCGGGAUUGGGGGUGGUGGUGAUAUAGACGUGGGGACAGAGUGGAAAACAACAAAAAUAUAAUUAUUUUAGUUCAAAGUUAUUGUGUCUUGAGUUGAAAGGCAGGGCAGUUAGCGACACGGUUCAGAUUUCAGUACUGCCCCUGAAAUCUGAAUUGUGUUCAAAGUCUAAAACGUUUACCUUAGCAAAUCCCUCAUAAAACUCCAUUUGGAAGAGUCCCGAGAGCUAAUUUGUUAAGUAUACUUGCAGAAGGUAGAUGAGGAGACAGAUUAAAUCUUAUUACCUCUUUCAGAUGAGAGGCACUUGAGCCCUGCUCAGCCGUGAGAAUAAGAGGGGGAAUUAAUUCUAAUUGAAUACACUUGUUCUCUCACAGCUGUUGUUCCCCACCAGAACCAAAUGAGCGCAAGAUCUGACAAAGAAAAAAAAAGGUUCAUCUUUUAUUCCGCCAAACACUUUCAUCUAAAUCAAGAGGGUGGGAUGUGGUUAUUGCUGUGUUUUUAGACAGAAUCAACAGUUUCUGGGUCUGAGAUAUUGCAUACACCCUCUCAGUCCCUGUAUCCUCAGAUGGAGUCACCUGAGAAUCCACAGCAAGUCCUAACCGGGGAUGGGUCUGGGUGGUUAAGGAAGGUUGGCCUCAGAACUGGGCCAGGGGCACUGCUUUGCUUUUGCUGUUUUGAUCAGCUCUCUGCCCGCAGGAGACAAGGAAAACCAAUGGGAACAGGCAGGAAUCGGAGUGCCGUAGUACAAUCACAGCUCACUGCAGCCUCAAACUCCUGGGUUCCAGCGAUCCUCCCGCCUCAGCCUCCCCAGUAGCUGGGGCUACAGGCAUGUGACACUACAUCCAGCUAAUUUAUUGUAGAGACAGGGUCUCACUAUGUUGCCCAGGCUGGUCUCAAGCUCCUGGCCCCAAGUGAUCCUCCUACCUCAUCCUCCCAAAGUCCCAAGUAUGAACCACGGUGCCCAGGCCAUUACUCCUUUUUGCAUGUAAUUGCUUUAAGUGCUCGUUAGAUCACUGGACAGUAUCCAAGUCUCUCCUGGGAAAAGGAAAGAUAGCCAGUGUUUGUAAACAACCCACAAAAGAAGGCAACAGCAAAUUCUGAGAUGAUUUUAUUCUUCCUUUGUAUUACCCAGAUUGAAGGGGUUUGAAGUCUUGAGAAUUUGCAGUCUCGUUUCAGACUCUCCCCUCUCCUUUUUUCAGUAUCGAGUGAACAGCAGGGUUUUGCUCCUCCACUAUGAAGAGCUUUCUGUGCUAUUGAAGGAGGGCAGAUUUCCGUAUCUGGAAGGGGCAUCUUGGGGGCAGUCUGUACACAGUGAUUUCCUUAGGACCGGAAGGAUUACAGCCCGACUUUCUCUAUAGAGCAACUUCCCUUUGCCUAAAAGGCACUAUGUCAAAUGUUACCAGCAGGUCGAGGGAUUCCCUACCUCCCGUGCUAUCUGUUUGGAGCUAUUGGAAUCUUGUUCCUGGGGCUCCAAAGCUGCUGGGAAACAGGAUUGUUCUGCUUGAAUUCCCUCCUCCCCACCAUGAGACCACUUUUUGAUUCUUUUCUAUCUCAGGACAGAGCAGACUCUGCUGACAGUUUUCUGGCAGCUGCUUUUGUGUCUCACCUGGCUGCUGGUCAUAAGAGCUCAUGAGCAUUUCCUGGGUGACUGCCAGGGAGCCGUUGUGGGUUUGGGGGUGACUCCCAGGAGCUUACACACGAAUGGGUAGAUGUGGAUGCUGUUAAAAGGCUCGGCCAGGCGAUUCCUCUUGAAAUCUGGCCCGAAAUCUCUGAAGAUGGUCUUUAUAUCCAUGAGGACAUUAUCAAAGCCAUGGCUGCCUUUGUUGAAACACAUUAUAAUUCUCUGAAAAAUAAUAACAAUAAAAAAGCCAUUUUAGAUUCCAAUCCGCUGAAAGAAAACUGUCCCUUAGUUAAUGUCAUGCUUGUUGGAUCCAUGAAGUCUUUGAGAAUUUAAACUACAAGGACACUGCUCUCUGUGGUGGUGGAGGGAAUACCAAGGAUUUAAAGGUCUUUAAGAAAGAGAAUGUAGAAAGCGUACCCAUUGGAAACAGCAAGAUGAUGAUAAUCGUACUGACAGUAAUAAUAAGCUCAAAUAUAUGGAGCUUACUAUGUAUCAUGAAUUGUUCUGAAUGCUUCAUAAAUAUACGUUCCCUCCUUUACCCUCAUGGCAGCCCAGUAAAGGCGCCAUUCCCCAUUUUACAGCUGGGGAAACUGAGUUACAGAGCUUGUCUACACUGAGUCAACAGGAGCAAAUGCUAGAUCAGGUAAUUGAACCCAAGCAAUCCGGUUCCAGAGCCAAAUAGAUGUAUUUUUUUAUGGUAUAAAUACACAUACAUACAUUUUUAGGGGAAGGGUGGGGGUAGGAUGGGAUGAGGAUUCUGGGUAAUUGCUUGGUAAAUGCCAAAAACCUUUCUUGUCUCUCCCUCUUUUCAAAUGAUAAAGAAAUGUCAAUUGCAACACUUUUUUUUUUUUUUUUUGAGACAAGGUCUAGCUGGAGUACAGUGAUGCAGUCAUAGCCCACUGCAGCCUCAAAAUUCCUGGGCUCAAGCAAUCCACCCACAUCAGCUUCCCAAGUAGUUGGGACUACAGGCCCACACUACUAUACCCAGACCAACAGAUAUUCUAGCAUAUAAGAAAUGUGAUGCUCUCUGUACAUUGAAGAGUUGGUCUAAUAUUUGGCCUGGUGGAUACAGAAAUUGCCUGUCUGCUCCGCUCUGGUUGAAGAAACCAGUCCGACUGUCUCUGAGGCUAUGGAGCAGUCCAUCAAGAAUGAAAGCCCUCGGCUGGCACGUUGGCUCACACCUGUAAUACCAGCGCUUUGGGAGGCUGAGGCAGGUGGAUCACUUGAAGUCACGAAUUCGACACCAGCAUGGCCAACAUGGUGAAACCCUCUCUCUACAGAAAAUAGAAAAAUUAGCUGGGCCUAGUGACGUGUGCCUGUAAUCCCAGCUACUCAGGAGGCUGAGGCAGGAGAAUCACUUGAUCCUGGGAGGCAGAGCUUGCAGUGGGGAGCUGAGAUCACACCACUGCCUUCCAGCCUGGGCGACAGAGUGAGACUCUCUCAAAAAAAAAAAAAAAAAAAAAAAAAAGAAAGUCCUCAUGAUGGCCUCAAGCACAUUGGUCCCUGAAGAGAGUCAAGGAAGGCCCACUUUACUCUGCACUGCAAAGCAGGCAGGUGGACAGGAUGAGAAGUGGAUUCAGUGAGAGGCAUUGACUCAAAGGAUUUUCUGCCUAAUGGUCGGUUCAGCAGAAGAUUAAACUGAGCACAGCAUCCUGUUCCCUCAAACUAUCUGGUUGGUCAGUGGGGAAUGUUCUUGUCUCAUUAAAUGUCCUCAUGCUACUGUCAAGAUAUCCUGUUACAAAACAUCAUAAAUCAGGUUUACAAAUAG